rnacentral:rRNA from 1 species
AUGGUGCAACCAAUUAUUCAGGCGAAUAAUUUUGAAUUGAAGCCUGCUCUGAUUAACAUGGUACAACAGUCCAGAUUUGGUGCAACAGCUUUAGAAGACCCCCAUGAGCAUAUCAGGACUUUCUUGGAGUAUUGUAACACCCUCAAGCAAAAUGGAGUUUCACCGAGUGCUAUCAGAUUAUCACUAUUCCCAUUUUCCUUGAGAGAUGGAGCAAGAGUAUGGCUUCACUCCUUGCCUGGACAUCUGAAGGAUACUUGGGAGACUUUAUUGCAGACAUUUCUUGAGAGAUACUUUCCACCAACAAAAGCUGCUGAAUAUAGGGACAAGUUAACAAGGUUUACUCAAUAUGAUGGAGAGAGUUUGUAUGACACAUGGCAAAGAUUCAACUCUUUAAUCAGAAUGUGUCCUCAUCAUGGUUUAGAAAGAUGGCUGGUGUUACAAACCUUUUACAAAGGGCUGUCCACUCAGACCAGAGCUUUUGUCGAUUCUGCUGCUGGAGGAGGAAUUAUGAACAAAACCCUUGAUGAAGCUUUUGCAUUGAUUGAAAGUAUGGCGUCUCAUCAUUUCCAAUGGUCAAGUGAAAGAGAAAUAGCACCACCACAUCCUGGUGUGUAUAAUGUGUCUACAAAUGAUAGCAUGGCGGCUCAGAUUGACAUCUUGAACAAGAAGAUGGAUAGUAUCAUGUCAAAUUGCAUCGGUACAUCUGUAGCUUCAGUAAGUGUGCCUCAAAUGUGUGAUGUAUGUGGCCAAGCAGGUCAUCCUUCAACAGAAUGUACCUUUUAUUCAGCAAUUGGAUCAUCAGUUUCAGAAGUAAGUUAUGCCCAAGGUCAAGGUCCAUUCUCAAACAGCUAUAAUCCUUCUUGGAGGAACCAUCCAAACUUGUCAUACAAGAAUAAUCAGUCAUAUGCAAGUGGAUCGACAGUACAAGGAAAUCGACCACCAAAUCAUCCAAGUCAAUUUCAAGUGUCGAGGCAUAAUGAACAACAAAAUGUUCAGUCAAAUGGAAUGGAGGAAAUCAUGAAGAUGCAGUUGGAAUUGAUGAACAAGAUGACAAAUGAAGUUAAUGGCUUAAAGGAUUCUGUUAAGAUGCUUGUGAGCAAAAUGGAUAGUAUGGUGGGAGAAAAUGAAGCAAGGCUGCCUGCUCAACCAAUUCCAAACCCGAAAGCUCACUGUGGGGCAAUAUCUUUAGUUGAUGUAGUGACUACAAGGAGUGGAGCUAUGACAGGACCUUUACUUCCUAUUCCGAAGACAUAUGUGCCUCCUGCUAUGAGGCCAAGUUCAUCCGGAACUCCACCUUCAACAUCAUCGGAGAAAAUAAAGGAGAAAGAAGUUGAUAACUGA